rnacentral:rRNA from 1 species
GAUCAACGCUGGCGGCGUGCCUAAUACAUGCAAGUCGAGCGCACGGACCAGAAGCUUGCUUCUCUGAUGUUAGCGGCGGACGGGUGAGUAAUACGUGGAUAACCUACCUAUAAGACUGGGAUAACUUCGGGAAACCGGAGCUAAUACCGGAUAAUAUUUUGAACCGCAUGGUUCAAAAGUGAAAGACGGUCUUGCUGUCACUUAUAGAUGGAUCCGCACUGCAUUGGCUAGUUGGUAAGGUAACGGCUUACCAAGGCAGCGAGGCAUAGCCGACCUGAGCGGGUGAUCGGCCAGACGGGAAGUGAGAAACGGCCGAGACUCCUAGAGGAGGCAGCAGUAGGGAAUCUUACGCAAUGGGCCAAAGCCUGACAGAGCAACGCCGCGUGAGGGAUGAAGGACCUCGGAUCGGAAAACUCUGUUGGUAGGGAAGAACAAAAGUGUAAGUAACUGUGCAGAUCUUGACGGUACCUGGACAAGAAGCCACGGCUAACUACGUG